GUUGUGGUUCUACUGGUUUUACUGGCUCUACUGGUGAGAAGAGAUGUUGACCGGAAACCUGAAGAGGUUUAUACAGCUGUAGUUUACUCAGCAGUGAGAGCUGAAGACGUCAGUAUUGGAGACAAAACCAUCAGAAUGAGGAGUCCAAGACUUUAAACCAGAGCCAGACGUCGUCUACUCUUCACUGAAGUAGUCCACCAGUCCAACCACUGACGUCCAGCUGCUGGUCUCUAACUGGUCCCCCCAGCACCUCAGACCAGAGGACAUCCACAUUGAAUUUUACAUGUCUUAAGUCUUUUUUUCUCACUGAGA